rnacentral:rRNA from 1 species
GUCUACGACCAUGCCACUCUGAACAAGCCCGAUGUCGAUCUCGGAAGCUAAGCACGGUCGGGCCUGGUUAGUACUUGGAUGGGAGACCACCUAGGAAGACCAGGUGCUGUAGGCA